rnacentral:rRNA from 1 species
GACGUAGGGCGCAAGCGUUGUCCGGAUUUAUUGGGCGUAAAGAGCUCGUAGGCGGCUUGUCGCGUCGACUGUGAAAGCCCGCGGCUUAACCGUGGGACUGCAGUCGAUACGGGCAGGCUCGAGUUCGGUAGGGGAGACUGGAAUUCCUGGUGUAGCGGUGAAAUGCGCAGAUAUCAGGAGGAACACCUGCGGCGAAGGCGGGUUGCUGGGCCGACACUGACGCUGAGGCGCGAAAGCUAGGGGAGCGAACGGG